rnacentral:rRNA from 1 species
UACGGAGGGUGCGAGCGUUGUCCGGAAUCACUGGGCGUAAAGGGCGCGUAGGCGGCCUGAUAAGUAGGGGGGUGAAAUCCUGCGGCUUAACCGCAGGGCUGCCUUCUAAACUGUCAGGCUCGAGCACAGUAGAGGCAGGUGGAAUUCCGGGUGUAGCGGUGGAAUGCGUAGAGAUCCGGAAGAACACCGGUGGCGAAGGCGGCCUGCUGGGCAGUUGCUGACACUGAGGCGCGACAGCGUGGGGAGCAAACAGG